rnacentral:rRNA from 1 species
CUGAACCAGCCAAGUAGCGUGAAGGAUGACUGCCCUAUGGGUCGUAAACUUCUUUUAUAAAGGAAUAAAGUCGGGUAUGUAUACCCGUUUGCAUGUACUUUAUGAAUAAGGAUCGGCUAACUCCGUGCCAGCAGCCGCGGUAAUACGGAGGAUCCGAGCGUUAUCCGGAUUUAUUGGGUUUAAAGGGAGCGUAGAUGGAUGUUUAAGUCAGUUGUGAAAGUUUGCGG